AUUGAACGCUGGCGGCAUGCUUUACACACGCAAGUCGAACGGUAACAGGCCGCAAGGUGCUGACGAGUGGCGAACGGGUGAGUAAUGCAUCGGAACGUGCCCAGUCGUGGGGGAUAACUACUCGAAAGAGUAGCUAAUACCGCAUACGAUCUAUGGAUGAAAGCGGGGGACCGUAAGGCCUCGCGCGAUUGGAGCGGCCGAUGUCAGAUUAGGUAGUUGGUGGGGUAAAGGCUCACCAAGCCAACGAUCUGUAGCUGGUCUGAGAGGACAACCAGCCACACUGGGACUGAGACACGGCCCAGACUCCUACGGGAGGCAGCAGUGGGGAAUUUUGGACAAUGGGCGCAAGCCUGAUCCAGCAAUGCCGCGUGCAGGAAGAAGGCCUUCGGGUUGUAAACUGCUUUUGUACGGAACGAAACGGCUCUGGUUAAUACCCGGGGCUAAUGACGGUACCGUAAGAAUAAGCACCGGCUAACUACGUG
rnacentral:rRNA from 1 species